rnacentral:sRNA from 1 species
UGAGUAUAUUCGUGUAAGUACCGCGGGC